UGCUCACGAGACGAGAUAACUACCUUUCCUUUCUGUAGAUCUUCUUAGACAGCCGGCCGUCAUUUUUCUCAUUGAAAAUCCAGAAUGUAAACGGUCGUUUUAAGGGACCGCACCUGGGUACUGGCCCCAAGUUUUUGCUCUUCUUGACUAGUUUCCUCUGGUCGCCACACCUCCUCUCCCUCUCUUAUUCCACCUUCUCUUUUUCCUUCCCUUUGAAGGCGAUGAGAGCUACAGGACUGAUUACUUUAACUUCUGGGCCCUUUGUCAAAAUGUUGAACCAAAAGCUGAUGUAGACAAAACCCCCGCUCAGUGCAGCACCUCUUUUCUGGCCAUACUGUUGAAAGCCUUCAGUGAAUUUUGAAAAAUUAGAUGCCCUCUGGGGCUUCCGCAACACCGGUUGAUUUCAUUUAUAAAGGUGUCUGGUUGCUAACCAACCUAGUCUUGAUUUGAAUUCAUUUUUAAAAAGUUUUUCCUGGGCGAUCCAUGAUGUAUAUGAGAAUGUUUUUCUGGAUUUUUAAAGAAUUGCUGUGAAAAGAAAAUUUUAACUUUUUAGUUUUUCUCAGUAAAAUGUUGUUUUCAAAAGGCACUAUCUCAUUCGAAAGGGGGCAUGUUUGCUGGAGGUAUUUAAGGAAUUGUGACAAACUGUCACAGAAGAACAGAUCAAAGAAAAAGAGGAGGAAAAAAGAAAGGGAAGGAAGGAAGGAAGGAAAAAGGAAGAAAAGUUUGAAGAUCCACUACAUUUUCUAAGCCUUAAACCUCUGCCUUGAUUUGGAAACUAAGCCUAUUAAUACUUGCACAGUCUCCUUCUCAUAUGACCAAAAGAACAAAAAUAACUUUAGCUUUAGGAAAGUAAUUUAAGUGAUGAAUACUACACCCCAAUCCAAAAUUUGAACUUCUUAU